UUAUGUUGUUUAAUUCGACGCAACGCGAAGAACCUUACCAGGCCUUGACAUACUCGGCAAAGCUCUAGAGAUAGAGUGAGGUUAUCCGGGAUACAGGUGGUGCAUGGUUGUCGUCAGCUCGUGUCGUGAGAUGUUGGGUUAAGUCCCGCAACGAGCGCAACCCUUGUCUUUAGUUACCAUCAUUCAGUUGGGGACUCUAGAGAGACUGCCGGUGAUAAACCGGAGGAAGGUGGGGAUGACGUCAAAUCAUCAUGCCCCUUAUGGCCUGGGCUACAAACGUAACACAAUGGCGUAUACAAAGGGAUGCGAAAGGGUGACCUGGAGCAAAACUCACAAAGUACGUCUCAGUUCAGAUUGGAGUCUGCAACUCGACUCCAUGAAGGCGGAAUCGCUAGUAAUCGCGGAUCAGCAUGCCGCGGUGAAUACGUUCUCGGGGUUU
rnacentral:rRNA from 1 species